AGUUACUCUUCAUCCCAGGGUUGGGUAUAGAGCUCUUCAUAUGAGCUAGUUAUCUUUGUUCUAAUUAGCCUUGUGCAAAUUGAAAGAACUAGAAUUAGAAACUUAGGUUUUGCCUACAGUCAGUCACCCAGUAUUGUGGAGUUGAGAUUUCCAAGUUUAUUAAUAACAAUCAGAAUUAUUUCUUAAAAAAAUUAUUUCUUAGAUUAUAUUUUGCUGAGUGUGCUCUUGAUUCAAAUUUGACUGUAAGUCUCGUUUAAAUUUAUACAAACUAGUAGUGUAAUUACUCCAGAUGAAAAAAAAAAAAAAAAGAGUGACAUUUUGGGCCAAAAGCAAGACAGUUUCAAUUUACCAGUUAAAUAGAUCAUUUGCCCUAGAAUUGUGAUGAGUCCUUUGUUGCGAGAAACAAUUACAAAAAGGUCUUUAGGGCCGUUGAAUGAUAAAAGUUCGGACAAGUCACUGACCUUGCUCCUGCAGACAAGACACUAGAUGUCUGUUUCCAAAACACAUGCCCAUGAUGCUCCUAGUGGAAAGUUAAUAGACACUCCUGAGAUAUGAAUGCUGAGAUUCAAGUGGCCAGAAAUAAAGUUACCUCAAAGAUGUAGUGCAAAAAAAUGAUCGUAAGUCACAUACCUUUUUUUUUUAACCUUACAACAGUACAAAAUUUGAAAAGCUAAAAAUUAGUUGGACAAGUAACAUCUUCCAUUUUACGUUUUUGUGAGCCUCUCCCCCAGAGCCUACUAAAAGGCUUACAAAAUCCCUUAAGUUUGUAGACAGUGUUUUCAUGACUUCUAAUCAGUAAUUACCUUGUUAGGAGUUAUGUUCCUGAGUAUACCAUCUGCCCUUGAGAUCUAAAUCAGUCUAAUGAUGAUCAAAUAAAGUAAGCAAAAAGUUGAAACUUUGAAGAUGAAGAGUAAGCUUGAAUUCUUAAACAAAAUGAAUAAUUUUUGGAGCAGCUUAAUUUAAGACUACCUGAACUUUAUGAAAGUGGUAACUCGUGGUCUUUUUGUUGUGACGUACCCAUGGUUAAUUUUUCUAUCAUGCUAUAAUAAAAACGAGAUAUAAAUACUGUUUAAAAAUACAUUUUAAAAUACCUUUUAAGUAUAUUUGUUUAAAUAUAUCUUUGUUGUGGUAUUUUUGUUGUGAUGUACCCAUGGUUAAUUUUUCUAAAAUGCUAUAAUAAAAGCAAGAUAUAAAUACUGUUUAAAAAUACAUUUUAAGGGCAGCCCCAGUGGCGCAGUGGUUUAGCGCCGCCUGCAGCCCAGAGCGUGAUCCUGGAGACCCGGGAUCUAGUCCCACGUCGGGCUCCCUGCAUGGAGCCUGCUUCUCCCUCUGCCUGUGUCUCCGCCUCUCUCUGUGUGUGUCUCUCAUGAAAAAAUAAAUAAAAUAUUUUUUAAAAAUACA
rnacentral:lncRNA from 1 species